rnacentral:rRNA from 1 species
UACGUAAGUGGCGAGCGUUAUCCGGAAUUACUGGGCGUAAAGCGUGCGUAGGCGGUUUAGUGUGUGGGAAUUGAAAGCCCGGGGCUCAACUCCGGAUCCGGUUCCCAAACUGCUAGACUUGAGCGAAUCAGAGGACAGUGGAAUUCCCGGUGUAGCGGUAAUAUGCGUAGAUAUCGGGAGGAACACCAGAGGCGAAGGCGGCGACCUGGACAGGUACUGACACUCAACUACGAAAGCGUGGGGAGCAAACAGG